rnacentral:sRNA from 1 species
GGUGGUGGAAGUUAACCUAAAACCGUCACAUCGCGUAAUAACGGUUAACUACCUGCAUCGCGCAGG